rnacentral:rRNA from 1 species
UCUGCCGUGGGCGCUGGAGAACUGAGGGGGGCUGCUCCUAGUACGAGAGGACCGGAGUGGACGCAUCACUGGUGUUCGGGUUGUCAUGCCAAUGGCACUGCCCGGUAGCUAAAUGCGGAAGAGAUAAGUGCUGAAAGCAUCUAAGCACGAAACUUGCCCCGAGAUGAGUUCUCCCUGACCCUUUAAGGGUCCUGAAGGAACGUUGAAGACGACGACGUUGAUAGGCCGGGUGUGUAAGCGCAGCGAUGCGUUGAGCUAACCGGUACUAAUGAACCGUGAGGCUUAACCUUACAACGCCGAAGCUGUU